GAAAGGCUGAACCUGGAGGUUCCUAAAUGCACACGUUUGUGUUUCCAAAAUUUCUCAGUGCCUUAUCCAGAGCAGGUGAUGCAAGGAAUUUUGAAACUUAAGAGAAGUUAAAGAUCUAUCUAAGAUGAUGAGAAACUGCCAGAUGGAUCUCUUGCUUUGCUUGAUCCCUGGAUCAUUGGUCCACCUGCUGCUUCUGCUGGUACUUGCCCCUGGGACUCCAGUGUCUAAAAGGACUGCCAAGAAAUAUUUUCUCGGAGGAGCCAAGAUGGCAGAGGAGUAGGACAGGGAGAACACUUUCUC